rnacentral:rRNA from 1 species
UACAGAGGGGGCAAGCGUUGUUCGGAAUUACUGGGCGUAAAGGGCGCGUAGGCGGCCUGCUAAGUCGAACGUGAAAUCCCUGGGCUCAACCCAGGAACUGCGUCCGAUACUGGUUGGCUUGAAUCCGGGAGAGGGAUGUGGAAUUCCAGGUGUAGCGGUGAAAUGCGUAGAUAUCUGGAGGAACACCAAUUGCGAAGGCAGCUCGCUGGGACGUAACGUGAACGCUGAGACGCGAAAGCGUGGGGAAGCAAACAGGGG